rnacentral:rRNA from 1 species
GACGAACGCUGGCGGCGUGCUUAACACAUGCAAGUCGAACGGAAAGGCCCUGCUUUUGUGGGGUGCUCGAGUGGCGAACGGGUGAGUAACACGUGAGUAACCUGCCCUUGACUUUGGGAUAACUUCAGGAAACUGGGGCUAAUACCGGAUAGGAGCUCCUGCUGCAUGGUGGGGGUUGGAAAGUUUCGGCGGUUGGGGAUGUACUCGCGGCUUAUCAGCUUGUUGGUGGGGUAGUGGCUUACCAAGGCUUUGACGGGUAGCCGGCCUGAGAGGGUGGCCGGGAAGAAUGGGACUGAGAUAGGGGCAAGACGCGGACGGGAGGCAGGAGUGGGGAAUAUUGCAGAAUGGGGGGAAGGCUGAUGCAGCAGCGCCGCGGGCGGGAUGACGGCCUUCGGGUUGUAAACCGCUUUCGCGUGUGACGAAGCGUGAGUGACGGUAAUGGGUAAAGAAGCAGCGGCUAAGUACGUG